CGCUGUGACGUUGGAAUAUGAAUUAAGAUGUCCAGUUGCAGGAGAAUGGCGUCUCAGACCAAGGAAGUUAUUAUGCGGUGCAACACAAUACGUAUGUUUGUUAUAUUUACCAGAUAAAACAUACCAUGAGACCUGCGACGGACUAGAUAUUAGCAGCUCAGGCAGCAAACUUGUGUUUCAACCAAAUUUCAACAAGGCGAGAUGCAACUAAAAUCGAUAUCAACCUUUUACAUUCUCAACUGACGGUAGCAGUGCUUGCGUGUAUAAAAAGUCAUUCUGUAAUGCAGAGGGUCAAUUCCCUUUCAAUAAAGGAAGUUUUGAAAAUGACACAAGAUGUGGAUGCAACGUCUCGAAAGGGUACACAUUUGUAACAAAGCCAAGAAACAAGUGCUACUGCCUACCUUUAGAAGAAGACUGUUCCUGUUAUAAACCUACUUGUAAUAACAAAGGUAAUGAUUGUACUUCGAAUGAAGCCGUUAUAAUGAAUGCCACAUGCUCAGUGUUACCGGAAAAUAAUAAAUCAAUAUCAUCGGUGGAUGAAAAAAUACACAAAAGAAAACAAAGUUUGGAUUACGAUGGCGAAAGAAGAG